UACGGAGGGUGCAAGCGUUAUCCGGAUUCACUGGGUUUAAAGGGUGCGUAGGCGGGCAGGUAAGUCAGUGGUGAAAUCUUUGGGCUUAACCCGAAAACUGCCAUUGAUACUAUCUGUCUUGAAUGCGGUGGAGGUGAGCGGAAUAUGUCAUGUAGCGGUGAAAUGCUUAGAUAUGACAUAGAACACCAAUUGCGAAGGCAGCUCGCUGCACGAAUAUUGACUCUGAGGCACGAAAGCGUGGGGAGCAAACAGG
rnacentral:rRNA from 1 species